AACGAACGCUGGCGGCAGGCUUAACACAUGCAAGUCGAGCGCCCCGCAAGGGGAGCGGCAGACGGGUGAGUAACGCGUGGGAAUCUACCCAUCCCUACGGAAUAGCUCCGGGAAACUGGAAUUAAUACCGUAUACGCCCUACGGGGGAAAGAUUUAUCGGGGAUGGAUGAGCCCGCGUUGGAUUAGCUAGUUGGUGGGGUAAAAGCCUACCAAGGCGACGAUCCAUAGCUGGUCUGAGAGGAUGAUCAGCCACAUUGGGACGGAGACACGGCCCAAACUCCUACGGGAGGCAGCAGUGGGGAAUAUGGGACAAGGGGGGCAACCCUGAUCCAGCCAUGCCGCGUGAGUGAUGAAGGCCUUAGGGUUGUAAAGCUCUUUCACCGGGGAAGAUAAUGACGGUACCCGGAGAAGAAGCCCCGGCUAACUUCGUGCCAGCCGCCGCCGUAA
rnacentral:rRNA from 1 species